rnacentral:rRNA from 1 species
AGAGUUUGAUCCUGGCUCAGGACGAACGCUGGCGGCAUGCCUAACACAUGCAAGUCGAACGGAAAUUACUUCUGUAAUCUUAUUGGCGAACGGAUGAGUAACUCGUGGGCAACCUGCCCUCUACAUGGGGACAACUUCCCUAAAGGGGUGCUAAUACCUAAUGUGACACCUUUCUCACAUGAGGAUGCUGUGAAAGAUGGCCUCUAUUUAUAAUCUAUCGCUACAGGAUGGGCCUGCGUCUGAUUAGAUAGUUGGUGGGGUAACGGCCUAACAGGCGAUGAUCAUUAGACGGUCUUGAGAGGAUGAACGGCCACAUAUGGGACUGAGACUCCGCCCAGACUCCUACGGGAGGCAACUUUGGGGAAGCUUCCACCAUGGACGAAAGCCUGAAAUAGCAAUCAAGGGUGAGUGACGAAAGAAUUCAUUCCGUAAAGAUCUUUUAAGUUUUUCGAAUGUGCAAAUUGUGUAUUAUGAUUUGUAAUGGCGGUUGUAUAAGAAUAAACCCAGGCUUAAUUCGUUCCAACAACCGCGGUAAUUAGUAGGUGGCCAACGUUUCUCGGAAUUAUUGGGCGUAAAGAGCAUGUAAGCGGUUUUAUUAAUGUGGAGUGUAAAAUACGGGGACUCUUCCCUCGUAUGGCUCUGUAUACUGGAAGACUCGAGUGCACGAGAGAAAAGAAGAAUUCUCAGUGUAGCGCUGAGAUGUGUAGAUAUUGGGAGGAACACCACUGGCGAAGGCGCCUUUCUGGACUGUGUAUGACGCUGAGAUGCGAAAGCCAGGGUAGCGCACGCGAUUAGAUACCCCGGUAGUGUUCACCGUAAACGAUGGGUAUUAGGUGUAGGAGGUAUCCACCCCCUCUGUGCCGGAGUUAACGCAAUAAGUAUCCCGCCUGGGGAGUACGUCCCCAAGGAUGAAACUCAAAGGAAUUGACGGGGGCCCGCCCAACCAGUGGAUUAUGUGGUUUAAUUGGACGCAACGGGAAGACCCUUCCCAGGACUUGCCAUCCUACUAUCGACGUAGAGAUACAUUAGGCGCCCUUCGGCGAAAGCUCAGACAGGUCGUGCAUGUUUGUAGUCAGCUUGUGUCGUGAGAUGUUGGGUUAAGUCCCGCAGCGCGCGCAACCCCUAUUGUUAGUUGCUUCGAAAGAGCCCUUUAGCGAGGCUGCCCUUGACAAACCGGAGGAGGGCGGGGGAGACGUCAAAUCCUCCUGCCCCUUAUGUUCUGGGCUACCCCCGUAAUACCAUGGUGGUAAACAGAGGGAAGCCAAAGCCGCGAGGCAGAGCAAAUCCCUAAAAGCCAUCUCAGUUCGGAUUGCAGGCUGCAACUCGCCUGCAUGAAGCUGGAAUUGCUAGUAAUCGCGGAUCAGAAUGCCGCGGUGAAUACGUUCCCGGGCCUUGCACACACCGCCCGUCA